rnacentral:rRNA from 1 species
GGGGCCCUCACGGAAUCAUCUCGACAGGCGAAAGCCUGACGCAGCAACGCCGCGUGAGUGAUGAAGGCCCUCGGGUCGUAAAGCUCUGUCAGAGGGGAAGAACCUCCAAUCGGUUAAUAUCCGGUUGGCCUGACGGUACCCUCAAAGGAAGCACCGGCUAACUCCGUGCCAGCAGCCGCGGUAAUACGGAGGGUGCAAGCGUUGUUCGGAAUUAUUGGGCGUAAAGCGCGUGUAGGCGGCUGUUUAAGUCUGAUGUGAAAGCCCUGGGCUCAACCCGGGAAAGUGCAUUGGAAACUGGACAGCUUGAAUACGGGAGAGGGAAGUGGAAUUUCGAGUGUAGGGGUGAAAUCCGUAGAUAUUCGAAGGAACACCGGUGGCGAAGGCGGCUUCCUGGACCGAUAUUGACGCUGAGACGCGAAAGCGUGGGGAGCAAACAGGAUUAGAUACCCUGGUAGUCCACGCCGUAAACGAU